AAGCCCAAAGAGAGAGGCAGGGUCUGAUCUGCAUCCUCCAUGGCAGCUGUUGAUCAGUACUUGCCUUUCUCUUUCUCUCUG
rfam:Myotis brandtii contig205856, whole genome shotgun sequence.